UACGGAGGGGGCGAGUGUUGUUCGGAUUUAUUGGGUUUAAAGGGUGCGUAGGCGGAUCUUUAAGUCAGUGGUGAAAGCCUGCAGCUCAACUGUAGAAUAGCCAUUGAAGCUGAAGAUCUUGAAUUUGGUUAAAGUAGGCGGAAUGUAUCAUGUAGCGGUGAAAUGCUUAGAUAUGAUACAGAACACCGAUAGCGAAGGCAGCUUGCUGAACCAAUAUUGACGCUGAGGCACGAAAGCGUGGGGAGCGAACAGG
rnacentral:rRNA from 1 species